rnacentral:lncRNA from 1 species
AAAGUGAGCUAUGUUGUGUAAGGGGGCCAGGUGGACAGCCAGGGACAGAGUAUUCCAACAAAGGCCCUGAGGUGAACGUACUUGAGAAUGAGUGAGAGGCAGUGAGGCCAGGGCACAGUGAGCCAGGCAGCAUGGCAGGAGGGAUGUAUCAUGUGGGGCAGUGGCUCUGCCCAUUAGAUCCACCUGGGAAGUGCUUAAGAUCCACUGCCAUCCGGCCCCAGCUCAGAUUGAUUCAGAUGACCCUAACAUGUAUCCAGGGUUGAGAACCGCUCACUCGUGCGGGGUCUUGCGGGCUGUGGUACGGGUUCUGGAUUUUAUUCUGAGAUGGGAAGCCACUGGCCUCUGUUUUUAAAGGCUCAGAGGGUCAAAUAGGAGAUGUCAGCCCCUAUAAGGAGGGUGAUGGGGCAGGGAGAGGAAGGAUCCCCCAGGUGGUGGUAGAGCAGCAGCAGGUGUGGUGGGAAGGGAGAAGGGAAGCACCUGCUCUCCUGUGUUGCUGCGAGAGGGACUGUCAUCCUAAUCCCAGGGAGGGCCACAGAGGCUCUAGGGUUAGGUGACCUGCAUGGCCACACAGGGAGUAAGGUGGACUGUCAAUUACAACCCAGGUCAGCCUACCUGAGCAGCUGCCUCCGGGCAGGUGUGGGCACUGGCACGGACACUCCACCUCACUUGUUUGCAUGGAGGAUGGGCAUCUGGUUUCCAGGGACUGGGAAAUCCUUGCCUUCUGGUCACCUAAAAGCAUUGUCUGACAGGCAGCCAGUUGACACCUGGGGGUUGGGCAAAAGUCACUAUCCCCCACCCCACCAAGUGCCCCCUGAGUGAUGACUCAGCCCCUCUUCCGGACCCUCAGAACCUCCCACCAUCUGCCAACUAAAAGCAUCAUUGGGCACCAGGGCCCUGCUCCCGCCCUAGCUGUGGAGGCCCGGUGGCUGGCAUCAUUGCUGAUGGUCAGUGCCCAGACUCCAGGGAGUGUGUGCCAAUUCUCCUAGACAGGACGGGUGGGGCCAAGGGCAGCUCUGAUGAGAUUGCAGGUGCCACGUGGCCACUCCCGCUUCCUCCCUUGUUUUCUCCUCUUCCUUCUUCCUGCUUCUUUUUACUUCUCUCAGUGCCCCUUGGGGGCACUAGGUAUUACUCAGUGGGCGGCCCUGAGUAAUACUGAAACCCAGAGAUCAAUAAUUUGACCCAGCCUCUUGUCUAAGGAAGGAGAUUUUGCAGCCUCUCCCUUGAAUCAACCCAAGCCUCCAGUCCCUGAGAUGUGUUCUCAAUGCCAAGCAUCAACCCUUGCUCCUGCAUCCCUGGGCCCUUCCUGGUGAUGUGACGCAAACAUGGAGAGCUGAAGCAUGGACAGGGCGUGGCAGGGAGGAUCCCCGCUGCCCUCCUGCAUGUGGUCAGCACUCCUGCUUGCCCCUUUCUGGGCUAGAAACUUCUAGCCCAGUUCCUCAUCUUCCUGUCUCCUCCAGAGCUCCUCCCUCCCUAAUUUACUCAUUAUCCAUCAGAUGGUUCCAGACUCUGUGCCAGGCUCUGUUUUCAGUACCCAGGAUACAAACUUGACCCUGACUUAGACCCCACUCCCAGGAGCUCAGCAUCUCAGAGGCGGCUAGGAUAAUCUUUUCUUCCUCUCAGCUUCUUAAGGUCUCAGCUACUUGGGGGAAAGACAGUUGUCCAUUAGUCAUUCUAUUAAAAUUUCCUAAGGUUUUUUUUUUUUUCAAGAACAAUAAAAUGUUUUAAUGUCCUCAUGUUUUCCCUGGAGGAGAGAUUGGCUAAGUCCUAGGUUCCUGGGAAGAAGGAAUCUUGAACAACCAGGGAAAUAACACACAGGCUCCAAAAUCACAGACUUGGAUUCAAAUCCCAGCUCUACGGCUUGCAAGCUGUGUCACCUUGGGAAUGUUCCUUAACUGCUCUGUGCCUCAGUUUCCCUCUCUGUAAAACGGAGAUAGUGAUAACACCUAUUUCACAAGGUUGUGAGGAUUUAAGAAUGAAUAUUCAGGCCGGGCGCAGUGUCUCAUGCCUGUAAUCCCAGCCCUUUUGGAGGCCGAGGCGGGUGAAUCACUUGAGGCCAGGAGUUCGAGACCAGCCUGGCCAACAUGGUGAAGCCCCAUCUCUAUUAAAAAUACAAAAAUUAGCCGGGCGU